rnacentral:rRNA from 1 species
AUGAACGCUGGCGGCGUGCCUAGACAUGCAAGUCGAGUGGGUUUAGGCCCACGGCAAACGGGUGAGUAAUAUCUAGGAACGUGCCCUGAGUUGAGCAUAACCUACCGAAAGGUAGAGCAAUUCUCAAUGUGACCGCAAGGUUAAAGUCGCAAGACGCUCAGGAAGCGGCCUGGACACCAUCAGCUUGUUGGUAAGGUAAAAGCUUACCAAGGCUAUGACGGUUAGGGGCCCCGAGAGGGGAAACCCCCACACUGGAACUGAGACACGGUCCAGACUCCUACGGGAGGCAGCAGUUUGGAGUUUUGGACAAUGGGCGAAAGCCUGAUCCAGCGACGCCGCGUGGACGAUGAAGGCCUUCGGGUUGUAAAGUCCUUUUGUUAGGGAAGAAUAUUUUGACGGUACCUAACGAAUAAGAGGUUGCUAACUCUGUGCCAGCAGCAGCGGUAAUACAGAGACCUCGAGCGUUAUCCGGAAUCAUUGGGCGUAAAGCGUACCGAUAGGUGGUUAAGAAAGUCAGAUGUGAAAUCUCCGAGCUCAACUCGGAAUCUGUCAUUUGAAACUUCUUGACUAGAGGAGCAAAGAGGAAGCUGGAACGAACGGUGUAGUAGUGAAAUGCGUUGAUAUCGUUCGGAACACCAAUAGCGUAGGCAGGCUUCUGGGUGCUACCUGACACUGCUAGGACGAAAGCGUGGGGAGCGAAGGGGAUUAGAUACCCCCGUAGUCCACGCUGUAAACGAUGUACAUUAGGCGCUAGGGAGUAUCGACCCUCUUUAGUGCCAAAGCUAACGCGUUAAAUGUACCGCCUGGGGAGUACGGCCGCAAGGCUAAAACUCAAAGGAAUUGACGGGGACCCGCACAAGCGGUGGAGCAUGUGGUU